rnacentral:rRNA from 1 species
AAAUUGAAGAGUUUGAUCAUGGCUCAGAUUGAACGCUGGCGGCAGGCCUAACACAUGCAAGUCGAACGGUAACAGGAAGCAGCUUGCUGCUUUGCUGACGAGUGGCGGACGGGUGAGUAAUGUCUGGGAAACUGCCUGAUGGAGGGGGAUAACUACUGGAAACGGUGGCUAAUACCGCAUAACGUCGCAAGACCAAAGAGGGGGACCUUCGGGCCUCUUGCCAUCAGAUGUGCCCAGAUGGGAUUAGCUAGUUGGUGAGGUAACGGCUCACCAAGGCGACGAUCCCUAGCUGGUCUGAGAGGAUGACCAGCCACACUGGAACUGAGACACGGUCCAGACUCCUACGGGAGGCAGCAGUGGGGAAUAUUGCACAAUGGGCGCAAGCCUGAUGCAGCCAUGCCGCGUGUAUGAAGAAGGCCUUCGGGUUGUAAAGUACUUUCAGCGGGGAGGAAGGUGUUGUG